rnacentral:snoRNA from 1 species
UUUGUGCGGCGACACAGCCACCUUUUCCCCAUGUUGCUCGCGACUGCGACACUCUACGCAGAUGUUUGAGCGUCAGGCUGUGUCAAGAGCAAGAGGACGUCUUAGUACCUUUCGCCUUCUGAGCUGGAUGCCGAUUUCUUCACGGGAGUUGGGAACAGUUCAAGGAUGGGUCGGUGGUUCAUACAUCC